CGACACUUUAUUCAUGAGAAAUCCUAAAUGCUCUGCCCUGCGAUCUCAGUUCGCCACCCUCUUCCUUCUGCUGUCAUCGCCAGAGAGUAGCUGUUGCUGUCACUAGUGUGCCAUGCUCACAACUCAUUCCUUUUCCGUCAUCUCUGUCUUCUUCUCCUUCCUUUCUCCACUGUCUUCAAUGUUGCCGGUGUGGUUGUGAACAAGUGUCGUCCGCCACUGCUGGGGGGUAAUUGUGAACAACUGUGAUUGUGAUUUUUCCCUCUCCGCUACUUCAUGUUGUUCUUCGAGCUCUGUCCGUGUGGUGAUUGUGGACGCAUGAGGAUCUUUUUCCUCUUCCUUUUUAUGCAGCCAGCAUCUCUCUUUCCUUCUUCUCGUUUCUACUGUCACUGAUUUAAGGCAAGAGUUUCCAAGACUUCUCUUCAUUGACUCUGUAUGUGCAAUAGGUUUUAAGUGGCAAGAAUUUCAAUUCUUUCUAUGUUACCUGCUAUGCGUGGGAUUAGAAAUAGGGAUUUGGGAAAGCUGAAAUUUAAAGCCUAAGAGGAUAUUCUCAUCAGAUAAUCUUGUUAUAUUUGUUUUGAGUUAUUGUCAAUGAAGAUAGACUGUGGAAGAGGUGUUUCUUCUAAGCUUAAAAGAAAAAACAAGAAGAAAGAGGUUUCGUUGAAGGAAUGGAAUUUGGGUUGCUUGAUUUAAUACAAAUAUUGAUAUUGAUGUUGGGAAA